UACGUAGGGGGCAAGCGUUGUCCGGAUUUAUUGGGCGUAAAGAGCGUGUAGGCGGCUUUACAGGUCCGUUGUGAAAACUCGAGGCUCAACCUCGAGACGCCGGUGGAAACCGUAAGGCUAGAGUCCGGAAGAGGAGAGUGGAAUUCCUGGUGUAGCGGUGAAAUGCGCAGAUAUCAGGAAGAACACCCGUGGCGAAGGCGGCUCUCUGGGACGGUACUGACGCUGAGACGCGAAAGCGUGGGGAGCAAACAGG
rnacentral:rRNA from 1 species